rnacentral:rRNA from 1 species
CCUACGGGUGGCAGCAGUGAGGAAUAUUGGUCAAUGGUCGUAAGCCUGAACCAGCCAAGUAGCGUGAAGGAUGACGGCCCUAUGGGUUGUAAACUGCUUUUAUGCGGGGAUAAAAUGCGUCACGUGUGAUGUUUUGUAGGUACCGCCUGAAUAAGGCCCGGCUAAUUCCGUGCCAGCAGCCGCGGGAAUUCGGAAGGUCCGGGCGUUAUCCGGAUUUAUUGGGUUUAAAGGGAGCGUAGGCCGCAUGGUAAGCGUGCCGUGAAAGGCCGGGGCUCAACCAUGGCACUGCGGUGGGAACUGGCGUGCUUGAGUGCGCGGAACGUAUGCGGAAUUCGUGGUGUAGCGGUGAAAUGCUUAGAUAUCACGAAGAACUCCGAUUGCGAAGGCAGCAUACGGGAGCGCUACUGACGCUGAAGCUCGAAGGCGCGGGUAUCGAACAGGAUUAGAUACCCUAGUAGUC